CUUAAUUUCGCGUCAACACGAGCAGCGACGAGGUGGAUUAAUUAAACCCCGGCUCGAUCGAAACAAAAGGCGCAUAUUGGGUGGAUCUGCCUAUAGAGAUCAACUUUUUCCGAACCUUGAGGCGAAUAAGAUAGUCAUGGACGACCUCGAGCAAGUGUUGGCUCCCGGCUACGUAUAACGGAUUGCCCGUGACCGGGGAGGACCUUGGCCAUGGAUGUACGUCGGAUGUCGUGACGCAGGCGUCGCGACGCGCGCGUUUAUUCCUUUCAUAAUUUCUUUUCGCUACAAGUUAAAAAAAAA